AGAAUCAACGCUGGCGGCGUGCCUAACACAUGCAAGUCGCACGAGAAAGGGUAGCAAUACCUGAGUACAGUGGCGCACGGGUGAGUAACACGUGAAUGAUCUACCUCCGAGUGGGGAAUAACUGAGAGAAAUCUUAGCUAAUACCGCAUAAUACCCACGGGUCAAAGCAGCAAUGCGCUUGGAGAGGAGUUCGCGGCCGAUUAGUUAGUUGGCGGGGUAAUGGCCACCAAGACGAUGAUCGGUAUCCGGCCUGAGAGGGCGCACGGACACACUGGAACUGAAACACGGUCCAGACUCCUACGGGAGGCAGCAGUGGGGAAUUUUGCGCAAUGGGGGAAACCCUGACGCAGCAACGCCGCGUGGAGGAUGAAGCCCUUGGGUGUAAACUCCUUUCGAUCGGAAGAUAAUGACGGUACCGAUAAUAAGAAGCCCCGGACUAACUUCGUGCCAGCAGCCGC
rnacentral:rRNA from 1 species